GCUCCGUAACACGUGGUCAAACUACCCUCUGGACCGGGAUAUCCUCGGGAAACUGAGGUCAAUCCCGGAUACUGCUUUCAUGUUGGAAUACAGAAAGUCGGAAACGGUCCGCCGCCGGAGGACGUGACUGCGGCCGAUUAGGUAGACGGUGGGGUAACGGCCCACCGUGCCGAUAAUCGGUACGGGUUGUGAGAGCAAGAACCCGGAGACGGUAUCUGAGACAAGAUACCGGGCCCUACGGGGCGCAGCAGGCGCGAAACCUUUACACUGCACGCCAGUGCGAUAAGGGGACCCCGAGUGCGAGGGCAUACAGUCCUCGCUUUUCGUGACCGUAAGAAGGUCUCAGAAUAAGAGCUGGGCAAGACCGGUGCCAGCCGCCGCGGUAAUACCGGCAGCUCGAGUGAUAGCCACUAUUAUUGGGCCUAAAGCGUCCGUAGCCGGCCGAACAGGUCCGUCGGGAAAUCCACCCGCUCAACGGGUGGACGUCCGGCGGAAACCAGUCGGCUUGGGGCCGGGAGACCAGAGAGGUACGUCCGGGGUAGGAGUGAAAUCCUGUAAUCCUGGACGGACCGCCGGUAGCGAAAGCGUCUCUGGAGAACGGACCCGACGGUGAGGGACGAAAGCUUGGGUCUCGAACCGGAUUAGAUACCCGGGUAGUCCAAGCUGUAAACGAUGCUCGCUAGGUGUGGCGUUGGCUACGAGCCAGCGCUGUGCCGUAGGGAAGCCGAGAAGCGAGCCGCCUGGGAAGUACGUCCGCAAGGAUGAAACUUAAAGGAAUUGGCGGGGGAGCACUACAACCGGAGGAGCCUGCGGUUUAAUUGGACUCAACGCCGGACAUCUCACCGGCACCGACAGUGUGCAGUGACAGUCAGUCUGAUGGGCUUACUUGAG
rnacentral:rRNA from 1 species